UGAGCAAUCUGCCCUUCACAUCGGAAUAACCAUUGGAAACGAUGGCUAAUACCGAAUAUGACUUCGGAUCGCAUGAUCUGAAGUGGAAAGCUCCGGCGGUGAAGGAUGAGCUCGCGGCCUAUCAGCUUGUUGGUGAGGUAACGGCCCACCAAGGCGACGACGGGUAGCCGGCCUGAGAGGGUGACCGGCCACACUGGGACUGAGACACGGCCCAGACCUNUACGGGAGG
rnacentral:rRNA from 1 species